rnacentral:rRNA from 1 species
AGCGAACGCUGGCGGCAGGCUUAACACAUGCAAGUCGAGCGGGCGUAGCAAUACGUCAGCGGCAGACGGGUGAGUAACGCGUGGGAACAUACCUUUUGGUUCGGAACAACACAGGGAAACUUGUGCUAAUACCGGAUAAGCCCUUACGGGGAAAGAUUUAUCGCCGAAAGAUUGGCCCGCGUCUGAUUAGCUAGUUGGUGAGGUAACGGCUCACCAAGGCGACGAUCAGUAGCUGGCUGAGAGGAUGAUCAGCCACAUUGGGACUGAGACACGGCCCAAACUCCUACGGGAGGCAGCAGUGGGGAAUAUUGGACAAUGGGCGCAAGCCUGAUCCAGCCAUGCCGCGUGAGUGAUGAAGGCC